rnacentral:rRNA from 1 species
GUGCCAGCAGCCCGCGUAAUACGUANGUGGCAAGCGUUGUCCGGAUUUAUGGGCGUAAAGCGAGCGCAGGCGGUUCCUUAAGUCUGAUGUGAAAGCCCCCGGCUCAACCGGGGAGGGUCAUUGGAAACUGGGGAACUUGAGUGCAGAAGAGGAGAGUGGAAUUCCAUGUGUAGCGGUGAAAUGCGUAGAUAUAUGGAGGAACACCAGUGGCGAAGGCGACUCUCUGGUCUGUAACUGACGCUGAGGCUCGAAAGCGUGGGUAGCAAACAGGAUUAGAUACCCUGGUAGUCC